AACACAAAAACUAUGAAAACUCACGCCUCAUUCUUUCUUUUUCUUUUUACUCAAAAGCUUUGUUAAAAUCAAAACAAUUUAUGUAGAUCAAGUCAAGAAAUUUCUUUAAAAAAUUAUUCAAUAUUAGUUAGUGUUGUUGCUGAUUCAAAGAAAAAUGAGUUGAGAUUUGAAGAUGAAGAGAAUCAAAAAAUAUAGAAGAAAAUUCCUUUCAAUCUAAUGCUAAAAAGGAUCAAGAAUUGGGUGAAAUCUCCAUGAAUUUUCUUUUGCUUAUUUAAUUACCCAUGAUUUCAGGUAUGAAGCUUUCUUCAUCUUUGUAUGAGAUCUUUAUGCAAUCUACACAAUUAAAUAAAAAAAAAUUGAAUGCCUAGUAAUUUAAAUUUCAUAGAUUUUCUUUGCAUGCUAGUUGUAACAUAAAAAUUCAAAAAUAAUUUUGUUUGCACUAAUUUUGCUGCUAAAUUAAGAGCAUAUCAUACAAAAAAUCAACUCCACAAUAUAACCUCCUUCAGCAAUGAAAUUGAAUUUCUUCUGAAAUUUAUUUGUUUGAUCCUUACCUCGGCAUGCAAGCUUCAAAUUAAAGAAUCGUGUUUUGAGUCAAAAAUUAAUUGAAAGUGCUGAGUGAAUCUCCAUAUACCUGUGUAUUUGACUUUUUAAAAAUAAAUUAACAAUCUUAAAAAAAAAUAUAUUAAAGUCACUACUAGUUAUAUUUAAAAACAGAAUAGAAGAGAAAUCAAACCUUAGAAAUUAAUCCUAUGGACUGAUGUUGUAUUUGCUGCACUAAGGUUGAAGCCAAUGUUGUAUUCAAAAAUUGAUGAUUUUGUGCUUGUGCUGCUCUAUUUUUUAAUGCAAUCUGUGAUUUUUUUUCUUUUUAUGCUCACCUUUUGGCUUUAUUCUUCCAUAUCCAUUUCUCUUUUCUUUUUUAUUAAUUGGAUCCAAAAUUUGACUUGUACAGCCUAUUAAAGGAUCAAUAGAAUUGAAUUUGUAUUUAUUUUUACCACAAUCUCCAUUUUAUAUCUCACUUUGAUGUUUACUAAUCUCGAUUCUUGCUUGAUACAAAUAUUUUCUAGCAAUUUCUUUGGAAUCCUCAUCAUUUGCGGCUAAAGUAAUAACAUCAAACAACUCUUUCAUUAACCCAUUCAAACGAAUUGUAAUAGAGGAGUGCUUUCUUCUUUGUGGUGUAUUCCUCAAAUCUGUCUCCAUGUUUGGCAUUCUUCGACCAUCUUUUCAAAAUAUAUUUCUCAGGACUAUAAGAAAAUUCAAGUCAAAGAAUAGAACUUUUAGUGCGUGAUAACAUAACCAACCCAUGGACUCAAACAUAUGACAACUACGAAUAAAACUUUUAGUGCAUGACAACAUAACCAACCCAUGGACUCAAACAUAUGACAACUACAAAUAAUUAAAUUUUCAAGGGAAUUAAACUGGACAACUUUAGUUUGUCUAUUUUCACCCUUUAAAAUUGUGUAUUUGGUAGUAUUGCCAUAAGUUUCAGCACUGAGUGUUCUUUUGGUUGCCCCUUGCAAAAAUUCAUGUUGGAAUCGCAUGUAAAUUCUUCUCGUGUACUCACUAGCAGCAUGUUUUAACAUCCCACAAUCUUCUAUUGAUAUUUUAGGCACUCCUCGAGCUUUAUAAUCUGCAGCUGCUUCAAUAUCUCACAUUUCAGUUGUUCACUGCUCAUAAUGCUUUACAAACUCAAUUAUACUCACUGUCUUGUAUGUCAUUUCUGUGAAGACCCUAUUUGUGGUCUCACUUCUUUGAGUUGAUUUGAUGUGAUCCAAAAAAAUUAAACGGCUAAAUGCAAGACACCAUUUUUUCUCAAAUCAUAUAACUUUUGAAGCCAAGUAUUACCCGCACAAUUUCAUUCACUUAUUAUUUUAUCCCACACUAACUCAAAUUCUAAUUCCAAAUUGCACCUCCACAAGAGUGUGUCAAAAUAGUGUAGAAAUUUCGACUUAAAGUAAAGCUGAGGUAUUUUUGUAAGCAUUUCUAUCAAUAUGCCAUUCUCAUAGUCGAUGACACGUGUAAGGAAAGACUUCUUCAAUAGCCAAGGCUAUGGCAGGAGCUUGAUCGGUAAAAAUUAUUUUUGGUGCUUUUUCCUCCAUUGCCUUCAAAAAUGCUUGAAAUAGACAAACAAAUGAACCACUGAUUUCAUUGCAUAAGAAUGCACAACAAAAAAAGAUAUUUUUUCAGUGGUUAUUCACACCAACAAAUGGAGGACAAAUUAUGUCAUAUCUAUUUGUACGAUAAGUAGUGUAAAAAAUUAUUACAUCCCCAAGACACUCAUAGUGCAAUUUAGAUAUGCUAACUCUCCAAAGAAAUUGCACAACCUACCAUCUUUAUCAACCUGAAAAGAAUAGAAGAAGUUUGAGUCUCGGAUUGCAAAUGCAUAAAAUGAUCUAUCAAAGUUUGAGCAUGUAUGUGCUUGAACAAAGUUAUGAGCAUCUUGCUCAAUGAAUCCUACAUUUUCAACUCCACCCGCUUCAUUCUAAAGAUAUUGAACAACUUUUUUAGUACGAAUACCAACAUCAAUCAUAGAACCAAGAAUAUUUUUAGUAGCGUUUGUAAGCCUACGAUCAGAAUAUAUGAAAUGUUUCAAAUUAUCUUCUAUCAUGGGAUAACUAUGCAUAUCAUUGAAUUCACAUACUUUUCAUAUUCCAUUUGAAAUUUUGAAUUUUAUACGAGCCAUACAACCACAUCUAUAUUCUAAUCUUUGUCGCUUUCUUUCUUGAAAAGGAGAAAGUUUAUCCGAUUUUCCUUCACAAGAACAAAGAAAUAAACGUCUUGUUGUCACUCCUUUUACAUUAUUAGUCUUUCCUCCCCUUCGAACAUCAAAACCUCUUUCCACGGUAUAUGAAUUAUAUGCAUUGUAUGAUUCCUCUUCCGAAUUAAACUUCAUACCAAUCUAAAAAACAAAGUUCUUGAUAGUGUUACAAAUAUUAUGCUCGUUAACAUUGAAAUCUAUAAUGAUAAUUUUUAAUUGUAAGUAUCAAAAUUCAAUAAAUAAAUAAACUAUAGAUAGUAUUUAUUUAUUAGAGAUCUCUACACUUAAAUUACCUUCUUGGGCAGAGGAGUCUUUGCCUUUGUCAACAUGUCCAUCUUUCAUUUUCUAUUUCAAGCACAAUCUGCAUAAGACAAAAUUUAUAAAAUUAAAAAUUCAAUCUUUUCAAAAGUUAUCUUAAUAUUUAAAAAUACUUUUUGAUGUUAUAAAGUGCCUAGUUAAAAUAUAAUUUUGAAUAUGUGAUCAAACAUUUUAAAUUUAGCGUUGAAUUUAUUAUUUGGAACAAAAUUAGAAUUAUUAAGUUUUUAUGAUACUUUUAUUUUUAUAUUUAAUAACAAAAAUUAUUUUUUAUGUUUACAGGAUCAACUGACCAUGAAGAUCAUUCAAUGAGUGAUACACAACAUAUGGACACAAUGAAAAUAUUGAGAAGUGAAGCAUAUAUGUUAACAUUAGAUAUUUUUAUACGAAAAGAAUUAAUAUUUUACUUUCUAAUUGUAUAUAUAUAAUAAGGUGAUUUUACAAGUAUAAAUAACAAUGAGAAAAGGAAAUAAAAAAAUAAAGGUCAUAGAUGUAUACAUCUAAAAU
rnacentral:lncRNA from 1 species